CCUACGGGAGGCAGCAGUGAGGAAUAUUGGUCAAUGGGCGGAAGCCUGAACCAGCCAAGUCGCGUGAGGGAAUAAGGCCCUACGGGUCGUAAACCUCUUUUGCCGGGGAGCAAGGGCGGGGACGUGUCCCGUUUUGUAUGUACCUUAUGAAUAAGGAUCGGCUAACUCCGUGCCAGCAGCCGCGGUAAUACGGAGGAUCCGAGCGUUAUCCGGAUUUAUUGGGUUUAAAGGGUGCGUAGGCGGCCUUUUAAGUCAGCGGUGAAAGUCUGUGGCUCAACCAUAGAAUUGCCGUUGAAACUGGGAGGCUUGAGUAUGUUUGAGGCAGGCGGAAUGCGUGGUGUAGCGGUGAAAUGCUUAGAUAUCACGCAGAACCCCGAUUGCGAAGGCAGCCUGCCAAGCCAUGACUGACGCUGAUGCACGAAAGCGUGGGGAUCAAACAGGAUUAGAUACCCGAGUAGUC
rnacentral:rRNA from 1 species